GGCUGCAUCCAUAAGCAAUGGGGCGCUCUCAGGCUCUGCCAUUCCUCCUGCUGCUCUGCCUGGAAAUCACCCUGUGCUCCGCCGGGGUCCCCGGAACAGAGUUCAUCACAGCUUUUAUGCAGAACCAUAAUAGAAGUACCGGCAAUCCCACCCUCAGCCUCUCCAUCACUGCCUUACAGGACUCCACCACGGUCAGCGUCAGGAUCAAUACCAUCAGCGCCACUUCAUUCAAUCCAAAGUUCACCUUAAAUAAACUGGAGGAAAAGACCAUUCCACUUCCAUCUAAGAUCCAGCUGAUGGAUUCUGGGAGCUCCUCGUAUGUCGUGUCUGUCUCUUCCAAUAACCCGGUGUCAGUUGUUUCUAUAAACUUCAAGGAACAAAGCUCGGACAGCGCAUCUCUAUUUCCAGUGACGGU